rnacentral:rRNA from 1 species
UAAUACUAGCGGUCCAAGUCGCAGCCAUUUUUAUUGGGUCUAAAACAUCCGUAGCUUGCUUGAUAAGUUCCUUGUGAAAUUCUGUGUCUCAAGCGCAGAGCGGGCAAGGAGUACUGUUAAGCUAGAGACUGGGAGACGUAAGAAGUAUGUUCAAAGUAGCGGUAAAAUGUUUUAAUCUUGAACAGACUCACAAUAGCGAAGGCAUCUUACGAGAACAGUUCUGACAGUAAGGGAUGAAGGCUAGGGGCGCAAAACGGAUUAGAUACCCGUGUAGUCCUAGCAGUAAACACUGUACACUAAACAUCAGUACCUCUUCGAGAGGUAUUGGUGCUGCAGGGAAGCCGAAGAGUGUACUACCUGGGAAGUAUAGUCGCAAGGCCG